GAUGAACGCUGGCGGCGUGCCUAAUACAUGCAAGUCGAGCGAACAGAUGAGGAGCUUGCUCCUCUGACGUUAGCGGCGGACGGGUGCGUAACACGUGGAUAACCUACCUAUAAGACUGGGAUAACUUCGGGAAACCGGAGCUAAUACCGGAUAAUAUAUUGAACUGCAUUGUUCACUAGUUAAAUACGGUUUUUCUGUCACUUAUAGAUGGCUCCGCGCCGCAUUCGCUAGUUGGUAGGGUAACGGCUUACCAAGGCAACGAUGCGUAGCCGACCUGAGAGGGAGGACGGACACACUGGAACUGAGACACGGUCCAGACUCCUACGGGAGGCCGCAGUAGGGAAUCUUACGCAAUGGGCCAAAGCCUGACGGAGCAACGCCGCGUGAGUGAUGAAGGUCUUCGGAUCGUAGAACUCUGUUAUUAGGGAAGAACAAAUGUGUAAGUAACUAUGCACGUAUUGACGGUACCUAAUCAGAAAGCCACGGCUAACUACGUG
rnacentral:rRNA from 1 species